UACAAUCUCACUAAUCAUAUAAUCUUUAUUAAGUAUAACAAUAAUUUAAAACAAAAAAAAAUUGGACUAAGAAGCCCAUACCACGAAUUAAUCAGAAGCCAAAAUAAUAAAUUAAACCUAAAUUUAAUGUUAAACCUAUGCUCUCUCUCGAUGUUACCAUUCCUUCAUCUCUCUCAUCUCAUUAUUCUUUUUCUCUUUGUCAUUAUCUUCUGUACAUCUUACUCUCGCUCUUGCGAUCUAGUUUCCUGCAAUCCUUAUUUCUCUAUGAUUCAAUCAUUAGCAACGAUAAAGGGUGGUGGUUGA